UACGUAGGGGGCGAGCGUUGUCCGGAUUCAUUGGGCGUAAAGCGCGCGUAGGCGGCUCCGCAAGUCGGCCGUGAAAUCUCCGGGCUCAACUCGGAGGGGUCGGGCGAGACUGCGGGGCUCGAGGUGGGCAGAGGGCAGUGGAAUUCCGGGUGUAGUGGUGGUAUGCGUAGAGAUCCGGAGGAACACCAGUGGCGAAGGCGGCUGCCUGGGCCUGGCCUGACGCUGAGGCGCGAAAGCGUGGGGAGCGAUCCGG
rnacentral:rRNA from 1 species